AUUGAACGCUGGCGGCAUGCCUAACACAUGCAAGUCGAACGAGUGGCGGACGGGUGCGUAAUGUCUGGGAAACUGCCUGAUGGAGGGGGAUAACUCCUGGCAACGGUAGCUAAUACCGCAAACCAUCAGAUGUGCCCAGCUGGGAUUAGCUUGUUGGUGGGGUAACGGCUCACCAAGGCGUCGAUCCCUAGCUGGUCUGAGAGGAUGACCAGCCACACUGGAACUGAGACACGGUCCAGACUCCUACGGGAGGCAGCAGUGGGGAAUAUUGGACAAUGGGCGCAAGCCUGAUGCAGCCAUGCCGCGUGUGUGAAGAAGGGCUUCGGGUUGUAAAGUACUUUCAGCGGGGAGGCGUUACCCGAAGAAGAAGCACCGGCUAACUCCGUGCCAGCAGCCGCGGUAAUAC
rnacentral:rRNA from 1 species